UACGUAGGGCGCAAGCGUUGUCCGGAAUUAUUGGGCGUAAAGAGCUCGUAGGCGGCUUGUCACGUCGGAUGUGAAAGCCCGAGGCUUAACCUCGGGUCUGCAUUCGAUACGGGCUAGCUAGAGUGUGGUAGGGGAGAUCGGAAUUCCUGGUGUAGCGGUGAAAUGCGCAGAUAUCAGGAGGAACACCAAUAGCGAAGGCAGCUCGCUGGGACGUUACUGACACUGAGGCGCGAAAGCGUGGGGAGCGAACAGG
rnacentral:rRNA from 1 species